rnacentral:rRNA from 1 species
AUUGAACGCUGGCGGCAUGCCUUACACAUGCAAGUCGAACGGUAACAGGUCUUCGGAUGCUGACGAGUGGCGAACGGGUGAGUAAUACAUCGGAACGUGCCCGAUCGUGGGGGAUAACGGAGCGAAAGCUUUGCUAAUACCGCAUGCGAUCUACGGAUGAAAGCAGGGGACCGCAAGGCCUUGCGCGGACGGAGCGGCCGAUGGCAGAUUAGGUAGUUGGUGGGAUAAAAGCUUACCAAGCCGACGAUCUGUAGCUGGUCUGAGAGGACGACCAGCCACACUGGGACUGAGACACGGCCUAGACUCCUACGGGAGGCAGCAGUGGGGAAUUUUGGACAAUGGGCGAAAGCCUGAUCCAGCCAUGCCGCGUGCAGGAUGAAGGCCUUCGGGUUGUAAACUGCUUUUGUACGGAACGAAAAGACUCCUUCUAAUAAAGGGGGUCCAUGACGGUACCGUAAGAAUAAGCACCGGCUAACUACGUGCCAGCCGCCGCUGUAAUAC